UUAUGUGUGUAAUUUAACUUCCCUUUAGUGUUAUCAGGACAAAUGUUAGAAAAUAAUCAAAAGAAUGCUAUUCCACCUAACAGUAACUACCAAUGCUUUUAGAAGUUACCAAUGCAAUUGGCUCAAUUUUGUGAGGUCGUAUGCCUCAAAAUUAAAUAGAUUCAAGCCCAAAUAAUUAUAAAGAAAAUGAAUCCGCAUGAGAUACAUAAAAAGGUCAAAGUGCAGGGCUCAUCAGUGUUCCUAAAUGAUAACAACCAUCGACUGAGUGCACUUCAAUUAGUGACAGAAAGAAAGAACAAUAACAAGCUAUUAUGAUUCAUUUCAAGCUAGGAUCCAAGACACACUUCCAAGGUGUUUGUAUAUUAUAAAAUUAUACUUGAUUGGGACUUGGCCAAAAGCCAUAAAGAAAUCAAAUUUCAGCACCUGCUAACAAAUGCAAUGUUUAUAGCUCCUACCACUAGAAUUCUCUCUAUCAUGUUUAUCCACUGCUUUAAAAAAAAAAGAAAAGAAAAAAGAAACAUGUGCUAUGUUUGAACUCCCAGCCUUUACAUUUCAAAACUGCUAACAAAUGCAAUGUUUAUAGCUCCUACCACUAGAAUUCUCUCUAUCAUGUUUAUCCACUGCUUUUAAAAAAAAAGAAAAGAAAAAAGAAACAUGUGCUAUGUUUGAACUCCCAGCCUUUACAUUUCAAAACUGAGAGCCUUCUAGUUUGACCUAUAGGCUUUAUGCUUUUUAUUUACAAGUAACUACUACAGAAUAUUCAGAUAAAAAAUCAGUGACAUGAUUUCAUAGUCUCCGGGAUCUCCCAACUUGGUCGUGAUCCCACGCUCCUGAAGCUGGACCUUGGGUGGAUCUCACUCCCGUAUGGAGGCACAUGGUCUCCAUUCCUUAGGGAUUGGUCGAUAUAAAUCACACUCAUGUUAGAUUGAUUUUUUAUAAGGAAACAAGUCUUACGUGCAUCCAUUAAAAAAAGAAAGUAAUUUAUGUAGCAAAAUCAUGUUAUGUAUAUUUUUUAAAGAAAAAAGAGUUGCUUUAACAAGAUGGGUCUAGGACUUAAGGAUUUAUCGUGCAAUUCCAAAAAGUUGAGAUCCAGCUUCCCAUCAUUUUAGGAUCGGGAUCCCUCAAAUUUAGGGUGCACCAACAAUGAUCCCGACCAUCAGGAGCUUCGAACCUAUCACAAUCCCAAUCUCUCGAUUCUGCUCCCUCUCCCGAUCCCAACAACUAUGCAUGAUUCUCUAAAGCUCAUAGGAACUUGCAGAAGAAUGGACAAAUUAUAUCAUGGGAUUAGUUGAUCUUGUGGCUUGUUGAAUUCUUAUCUUCUUCUCUUACUUUCAUAUAGUAUCACUUAUAUAUCUAUCGAACAAACACAUGUUAAAAAUAUGGAAAUGUGUACAAUGAGACCAUUUACUUUUAGUACAAGGAGGUCACAACUACUAUUGAUUGUUAGAUGCAACAUCAGGUGGUUGGGAAUGUGACAUUGGCUAGGCACAAUGUCCAGAACAAAAUUUCUCGAAUGUUGGGACACAUUUCAAUCCAUUAAAUAUCAUAUCCAAUGGCUAAUAAUGAUUUUGACCUUCUUGUACUUAAAGUAAAUGGUCUCAUAGUAUACAAUCCCCAAAAAUAUUAUUAGUUAUUCCAACAACAAAUAAAUCACCAAAAGAAACCACUCGUGAGAAGUUGAUUCGAAGGAUCGCUUGUCACGUUCAUGAGUUGGCAGAUGCUAAGGCAUGGACUUACCACAUGUCAGAAAAGGCAAUUACUGAAAACUUGCGACUUACGUGGUGGCAUCAAAGGAUCAAGUUACCCAUAACAGUGGCAUUGGCUUUUCCACAUUCACACAUUGUAAGCUAAAGGUUGAUGGGUCUUCUAUUUAGAACCCAAGUCGAGCUGCUUGUGGGGGCGUCUUAAGACGGGAUGAUGGAUCCUUCGUUGCUGCUUUUUUAGUUCCGCUUGGGAUUGCUUCCAAUAAUUAUGCAGAAUUUCGAGGUGUACAAAAGGGUGUCGAUUUAGCUAUGCAAUUGGCCUACAUUCCCCUAUAAAUUGAGAGAUUCUACCAUACUUGUCCAAGUCAUACAGGGCAAGUGUAAAGCUCCAUGGGCUCUUCAUACCAUAUAUGCUAACUGCAAGUUUAGACUUGAGAAUCAUUCAUGGUCUAUUUGUCAUGUUUAUCGUGAGGCUAAUAUGGUGGCCGAUGUUCUUGCCAAAAAAGCUACAGUUUUGCGGAGGCCACCGCUCCAGGCCUCCAGAUUUUCUUAACCUUCCUUUACUUCAUGAUGUGGUGUAAUUACCCAAUUGUAGGGUUGUAAAAUAGUAUGAUGUAAUUAUUUUCCUAUUUUGUAUUAAUGAAAAUUAGGUAGAGGGCCUUCUCCCUCACUAAUUUGCCCAAAAAACAAAAAAAACUUCACCCUCAAAACCAGUAAAUCCCAAACUCCCCUUGCUGCCUCAGUGACAAUUCAGGUUAGCUACCUACACCCUAGAAUGGUUGGGUGUAACCCUUGAAGUUUGUCCCCCAAAAAACCAAGCUGACUAACACUUUCUGGAAAUUGAGCACUAGCGUGAUGAUUAUGGUGUUGACAUUGCAGCAUGAUAUCCCGGAUUCGAACCACAUCGCUAAUCUAACACCCGCCGCACCAAAAGAGAAAAAAUGCAAGAGAUGCAAUGAAGGGACAUUGUUGGAGCGAUUGAGUUAUUGAACUUCAAUAAGUUCUGAAAUCUACGCAACAGAUAAGAAACAAGGCUACCAAAAUUUGGUAUACACGAGAAAAUGUAACAAUAGUCGAAGUACGGUAUAGUAACAAGAAGGAUGAUUACUUUUUAAGAUGAAGAGUUUGAAGCAGCAGCCAAUACUUUAAUUAAGGGAUUACUUCGAGUUGAAACUCACACCAUGGAAUAUUGGAUGUCUUGGCCUAGUCUCACAGAGUACAGUAUGACAGUCACUAAGGAGAAACGCUAUCAAUUUCAAUAUGGGAUCCUUCAUUUUUAUUUUACUUUUUGCCAAUAAUAUUCAGUUGUCUCACUAAGAACAAAUGUUUUUGUGAUGCAGAUCUCUAAAAUGUGAAUCUUUUAAAUUAGUUUGGGUGAAUAAAAUGGACUAAAUAAGAAUUAGUGCAUGCCAAACCAAUAGCAUGAGGACAAAAUAAACUUUGCAACAGAAAAAGGAAAUUGACAUUGAACUGAAUAGAUUAACAGAGUGCAUGAUCCAUUUCUCAAAAAAAAAAAACAGAGUGCACGAUCCAUUAAAAAUGGUGUAGGCAUUAGUUCCAAUACACAAACCAAUAACUAGAUGUUAAUACAGAAAACCAUGGCUAUAACAAGAAGCAAGCAAAUGGGAGCUCAUCAUUCUGCAACUGAAAAUCAAUAUAUACCUGGUUGCCGGAAUAAUUUACAAUUCACUAAAGCAAGCAUCAAGAGGCAAAAAGUAAUCCAAUAGAUACAAAUUGAUUAAGAGAAACCUUUUUGGUUGUCCCCUUUGUCUACAAAUGUGACGACUUUUCGGUCCGUGGUCAGUUCCUCUUAGUUGUUAACUUGUUUGGUUCUCUUUCUAGAUAGUAAACCAAUGUAUCGAAGGAAUCAAACUCAUCAGAGCCAAAACAUGAUACCUGAAAAGAAAAAAGUACAAAACAACAAAAAAAUUCAAAACUUCACAGUCCAAUGCAGAAUGUCUAUCGAAUCACAGACUAGACACUUCUCGAGAUUUAUACUACGGUCGUUAUGAGAGAGAUCAAAACAGGAGAAAGAUGAAUAGCUCAACAAUUAAAAUACUAAAAACAGGACUAACGACCUAAUUAGAGACCCAACGUUCUCUUGGAUUUCAAUUGAAAUUUCAGCCCAAAUUAAGUAUAUAAUGAAAGAUUUUGUUAAAACAAGAAGGUCAUAACUGGGCUCAAUGUUUACGAAGAUUACGGGAUUGAAUUUCAUGAUAUCUGGCUGAUAAACCCUUUAUCUGAAUACCAAAUGCAGCCUAAAAUUCAGCUGGUUGUUAGCAAUUACAAGCAAUCAAAGAGAUCAAUGAGCCAGACUCAGCUAUAAUUAGUGAAUUCUGGCCAUAAAACAGAUGGUUCACCAGAAGGUGGUUGGUUUUGGACGUCAAUUAAAUGAUGAAAUUCACGUCAGAGGCGAAUAAUCUCGCACAUGGAAAGAGCUUUACCAGUUUCUGGAUCCCAAAAUGGGGUUCCUCGGAGAAAUAGAGAGAGUAAUAGGCUUGUGAGUUCAAAGAGAGUAAAAGGGGAUAUGGGUUUCUUUGUUAAUACAGGAGGGAUAUCUAUUGGGUGAGAAUUUACAGAGAGAGAGAGAGAGAGAGCAAAAGGGGAGAUGGGUUUCCUUGGUUAUAGAGGAGGGAUACGUAUUUUGGUGAGCGAUUUUAGAAAGAGAGAACAAAUGGGGAGAUGGGUUUCUUUGGUAAUAGAGAGGGAUACUUAUUUGGUGAGAGAUUCUCUCUCUCUCUCUCUCUCUCUCUCUCUCUCUCUN
rnacentral:lncRNA from 1 species